rnacentral:rRNA from 1 species
GACGAACGCUGGCGGCGUGCUUAACACAUGCAAGUCGAGCGGUAAGGCUCCUUCGGGAGUACACGAGCGGCGAACGGGUGAGUAACACGUGAGCAAUCUGCCCUUCACACUGGGAUAACCCCCGGAAACGGGAGCUAAUACCGGAUACGACCACUUCAGGCAUCUGAUGGUGGUGGAAAGUUCCGGCGGUGGAGGAUGAGCUCGCGGCCUAUCAGCUUGUUGGUGGGGUAAUGGCCCACCAAGGCUUCGACGGGUAGCCGGCCUGAGAGGGUGACCGGCCACACUGGGACUGAGACACGGCCCAGACUCCUACGGGAGGCAGCAGUGGGGAAUAUUGGACAAUGGGCGAAAGCCUGAUCCAGCAACGCCGCGUGAGGGAUGACGGCCUUCGGGUUGUAAACCUCUUUCAGCAGGGACGAAGCGCAAGUGACGGUACCUGCAGAAGAAGCCCCGGCUAACUCCGUGCCAGCAGCCGCAGUAAUAC